GAAUGGGUUUAACACUUUGAACGGAUCCUUUUCCGAAAGACGGUGUUCCGACCAAAACAGCCCGUUUGUGGUCUUGCAAAGCACCGGCAACAAUUUCCGAAGCUGAUGCCGAGCCUUCGUUAAUGAUGACAACAACCGGCAGCCCGUUUGUUAAAUCACCUUUGGUUGCCGACAAACGCAUUGUUUCUUCCGGAAUGCGAGAACGAGUCGAAACAAUUUCUCCUUCAUCCAAGAAAGUAUCCGUUACGCCGACGGCUUGUUCCAGUAACCCGCCCGGAUUGUUGCGCA
rnacentral:ncRNA from 1 species